rnacentral:misc_RNA from 1 species
GAAGUAUUGUAGAAACAUUUUAGACAGGUAUAAGGUUUGAGACUUGGUGGGUGUUCAUGUGAAGACAGGAUUAUGUAAUAUCAUGGUUCUAAUUCUACUACUUUGUGGUAAAGGAGAAGAAUUAAAAUUGGCUAUGAGAAAAGAAAGCAAGAUGGAAAAUACAAGAAUCACAGCAAAGGAAUGUAGAAACUCUGAAAGUAUGGCUUCAAAAUCAAACAUGACUAAACUAAAGGACUCUAGGUCCAAGCACAAGUAGUUUCAAGUUUAGAGCUCUUAUUAGAACAUUAGCGUGAUUAGUUAUCCUUAGAUAUGAAAUUCACAUGAUGGAUGGGGUCAUAAUGUUUCUGGCUAUGUAAGUACUCAAAAGUUCUCAAUAACUU